GCCAGACUCCUACGGGAGGCAGCAGUGAGGAAUAUUGGUCAAUGGUCGGGAGACUGAACCAGCCAAGCCGCGUGAGGGAUGAAGGUACAGAGUAUCGUAAACCUCUUUUGUCAGGGAACAAAGGCGGGGACGUGUCCCCGGAUGAGUGUACCUGAAGAAAAAGCAUCGGCUAACUCCGUGCCAGCAGCCGCGGUAAUACGGAGGAUGCGAGCGUUAUCCGGAUUUAUUGGGUUUAAAGGGUGCGUAGGCGGAAUGCCAAGUCAGCGGUAAAAUCGCGGGGCUCAACCUCGCUCCGCCGUUGAAACUGGCGUUCUUGAGUGGGCGAGAAGUAUGCGGAAUGCGUGGUGUAGCGGUGAAAUGCAUAGAUAUCACGCAGAACUCCGAUUGCGAAGGCAGCGUACCGGCGCCCAACUGACGCUGAAGCACGAAGGCGUGGGUAUCGAACAGGAUUAGAUACCCGGGUA
rnacentral:rRNA from 1 species